CCUUAGUAAUUGCGAAUGAACAAGGAAAUGCUCAGCUUGAAAAAUGGGGCCUUUGGCUUUGAAUUGUAAUUUUGAAAUGUAUUGCCAAUGGAGGCGCAGGUGCAAGCCUAUUGAAAGAAAGCGUCAAUGAGGGUGAGAUUCCUUUUUGUCAUUUGCAGUCCUCCGUGCACGGUAUAUAUUUGACGAGUCACACUCCUCGGCAUUGGAAUGCAAAGUGGGUGGUAAAUUCCAUGUAAAGGUAAAUAUAUUAUUGAGACUGAUAGCAAACAAGUACCAUGAGGGAAAUAUGAAAAGGACUUUGAAAAGAGAAUUAAAAGAGUCUGCAUUUGCUGAACAGAAAGCAAACAGAAUUGAUUUUACUUGGUGAGAUUGUUGUGCUUACUCUAUCAUUUAUAUGGUUGAUGUGGGUGCGAUGGUUCUUACCUUGAAUGUCAGCUUCUAUUUCUGCAAAUCAUUACCCUUGCACAUGAAUGGUAAUUUGCCUGCGGGUAUUGGAAUGCAUGUGUUUGCAAUGAUUUGUGAUUUGACGCAUGUGUUUGGUGAAAUUUGUAUAUGCUCUUUUGUCGAAGGGGAAAGCUUACUUUUUUGAGCAUUGCAAGCCCUUACACAUCAGUGCUGGCAAAAUGUUUCUGCUUGACCCGUCUU
rnacentral:rRNA from 1 species